UUCCACCAUUCAUUCAACUAGUAAUUUAUUAAAAUAGAAGUACAAAAUAUCUCUCACACAGCCAUGAGACUCAUGAAAACAUGAUAUAAAUAGACAAAUUAACCAAACCAAACCACAAGAAAGAAACCAACAUAUCCAAAUCCCAUUAUUACAAAUAUAUAUGCCUUAACAAGAUCAAUUACUUCAAUCUUGCUUCCCCAACAAGGUAAGGAUGAACUUCUUGUAGUCUCCUGAAAUUUCCUUUGCCACUGCAUCCUCAAGGUGAACACUGUUUCUCUUAUAAUACAGCUCUUUGAUGUCCUUCAGAUCUUUCUCGGCUCUUGUCACGACCACACGAGUCAGUCCAUCCUCAUCGGUUCCAACCCUUUUCAACGCACCGCGUAGAAUCUAAACAUCAUGGUAAAAAAAAAAAUCAAGGAUAAUCAUCGAUUAAAAUAUGUUACAAGUUUAUGUGUGAGACGGUGUGAAAAUAGUCCUUGAACAAAUUGAAAGUCAGAAACUAAUUAACCUUUUCAUAGUACUUCUUAUGGUCAUUGAUGCAUCGAAUCGUAGUGUGCAAUGCCUUGUGAAAAUCAUCAGAUGCAUUAUCCAACAGUUUCU
rnacentral:lncRNA from 1 species